UGAACGCCGUCAGGGUCGGGGGCCGCGUA
rnacentral:sRNA from 1 species